rnacentral:rRNA from 1 species
AUUGAACGCUGGCGGCAGGCUUAACACAUGCAAGUCGAGCGGAGGAAGUUGCUUCGGUAAUUGACCUAGCGGCGGACGGGUGAGUAAUACUUAGGAAUCUGCCUAUUAAUGGGGGACGACAGCUCGAAAGGGAUGCUAAUACCGCAUACGCCCUACGGGGGAAAGCAGGGGAUCGCUUGUGACCUUGCGUUAAUAGAUGAGCCUAAGUCGGAUUAGCUAGUUGGUGGGGUAAAGGCCUACCAAGGCGACGAUCUGUAGCGGGUCUGAGAGGAUGAUCCGCCACACUGGGACUGAGACACGGCCCAGACUCCUACGGGAGGCAGCAGUGGGGAAUAUUGGACAAUGGGGGGAACCCUGAUCCAGCCAUGCCGCGUGUGUGAAGAAGGCCUUAUGGUUGUAAAGCACUUUAAGCGAGGAGGAGGCUCUUUUGGUUAAUACCCAAGAUGAGUGGACGUUACUCGCAGAAUAAGCACCGGCUAACUCUGUGCCAGCCGCCGCAGUAAUAC